AUUGAACGCUGGCGGCAGGCCUAACACAUGCAAGUCGAGCGGUAGAGCGAAGCUUGCUUCUCUUGAGAGCGGCGGACGGGUGAGUAAUGCCUAGGAAUCUGCCUGGUAGUGGGGGAUAACGUACGGACACGGACGCUAAUACCGCAUACGUCCUACGGGAGAAAGCAGGGGACCAUCGGGCCUUGCGCUAUCAGAUGAGCCUAGGUCGGAUUAGCUAGUUGGUGGGGUAAUGGCUCACCAAGGCGACGAUCCGUAACUGGUCUGAGAGGAUGAUCAGUCACACUGGAACUGAGACACGGUCCAGACUCCUACGGGAGGCAGCAGUGGGGAAUAUUGGACAAUGGGCGAAAGCCUGAUCCAGCCAUGCCGCGUGUGUGAAGAAGGUCUUCGGAUUGUAAAGCACUUUUAGUUGGGAGGAAGGGCAGUAAAUUAAUACUUUGCUGUUUUGACGUUACCGACAGAAUAAGCACCGGCUAACUCUGUG
rnacentral:rRNA from 1 species